AAAUUGAAGAGUUUGAUCAUGGCUCAGAUUGAACGCUGGCGGCAGGCCUAACACAUGCAAGUCGAGCGGCAGCGGAAAGUAGCUUGCUACUUUGCCGGCGAGCGGCGGACGGGUGAGUAAUGUCUGGGAAACUGCCUGAUGGAGGGGGAUAACUACUGGAAACGGUAGCUAAUACCGCAUGACCUCGCAAGAGCAAAGUGGGGGACCUUCGGGCCUCACGCCAUCGGAUGUGCCCAGAUGGGAUUAGCUAGUAGGUGAGGUAAUGGCUCACCUAGGCGACGAUCCCUAGCUGGUCUGAGAGGAUGACCAGCCACACUGGAACUGAGACACGGUCCAGACUCCUACGGGAGGCAGCAGUGGGGAAUAUUGCACAAUGGGCGCAAGCCUGAUGCAGCCAUGCCGCGUGUGUGAAGAAGGCCUUCGGGUUGUAAAGCACUUUCAGCGAGGAGGAAGGCAGUCGUGUUAAUAGCAC
rnacentral:ncRNA from 1 species